ensembl:lncRNA
UUUUCUGGUGAAAGAACAUUGUGGAGCAGAGGGAACACCACUCAAUGUGCUACCUGGAAGGGGUAAAGAAGAAAGGUUCAAGAGAAGGAUAGGUCUAAUUAUUAGUGGUGAUUUUAAUAAUAGCUCGUCAAUCACUGAUUGUCCAUAGUUUAGGAAGAAAAGAAGUCACCAGGCUUUGAAGUCAGUCCAUCUGUCAGUGCUUUUCAAACGGGAACUGGGAGUGCAGGUUCUCCAGUGUACACGUGAGGAACAGAGUUUGUCUCAAAAGCCAUUCUGCAAAAACGAGAAGCAGAAAAGCUGUCCAGACCUUCUUUCCAGUCAGGGAAGCACCCAGCAUUGCCUUACUGAUGGACAGAGGCCUACCACAUAUCCGCAUGCGCUCAUGAGGGGUAGGGCUAGAGAGCCAGGUUUUCUUUCAUGUGACUAUAGAUGUCACUUGCUGUAAGCUGUCCUCUUUCUCAAGUGGGACGAUUGAUGAGUUAAUGAAUAGGAGAGAGGUUAAUUGGCCGUUCCUUUCUCCAGAGCCAAAGGCAUGUUCAUGGCAGGACAGGGCACAACGUCCUCCAGAACGAAACGAAUGCAAAGGCCUUUGGCUUCCUGCUAAGAUUUCAGUACCUGUACAAAGCUGAUCGGUAGGCGCCUGAAAAUAUAAUGGGAAAUUCUUUGCAUGGAAUGUACGGCAUGAUAUUGUCAGAGCGCAUAAGAAUCUUGCUGCUGAG